rnacentral:rRNA from 1 species
UACAGAGGGUGCGAGCGUUAAUCGGAAUUACUGGGCGUAAAGGGCGCGUAGGUUGUUUAUUAAGAUUGAUGUGAAAUCCCUGGGCUUAACCUAGGAACGGCAUCGAUGACUGGUAGACUAGAGUACUGUAGAGGGUAGUGGAAUUUCCGGUGUAGCGGUGAAAUGCGUAGAGAUCGGAAGGAACACCGGUGGCGAAGGCGGCUACCUGGACAGAGAUUGACACUGAGGCGCGAGAGCGUGGGGAGCAAACAGG